rnacentral:rRNA from 1 species
GCAUAUCAAUAAGCGGAGGAAAAGAAACCCAACAGGGAUGCCUUCAGUAACGGCGAAGUGAAGCGGCAACAGCUCAAAUUUGAAAUCUCGGCCUCGGCCCGAGUUGUAAUUUGCAGAGGAUGCUUCUGGUGCGGCACCGACCGAGUCCCCUGGAACGGGGCGCCAUAGAGGGUGAGAGCCCCGUGUGGUUGGACGCCUAUCCUGUGUGAAGCUCCUUCGACGAGUCGAGUAGUUUGGGAAUGCUGCUCAAAAUGGGAGGUAAAUUUCUUCUAAAGCUAAAUAUUGGCCAGAGACCGAUAGCGCACAAGUAGAGUGAUCGAAAGAUGAAAAGCACUUUGAAAAGAGGGUUAAAUAGCACGUGAAAUUGUUGAAAGGGAAGCGCUUGUGACCAGACUUGCGCCUCGUCGAUCAUCCGGGGUUCUCCCCGGUGCACUCGGCGGGGCUCAGGCCAGCAUCGGUUUUCGCGGGGGGACAAAGGCCCCGGGAACGUAGCUCCUCCGGGAGUGUUAUAGCCCGGGGCGUAAUGCCCUCGCGGGGACCGAGGACCGCGCUUCGGCAAGGAUGCUGGCGUAAUGGUCAUCAGCGACCCGUCUUGAAACACGGACCAAGGAGUCAAGGUUUUGCGCGAGUGUUUGGGUGUAAAACCCGCACGCGUAAUGAAAGUGAACGUAGGUGAGAGCUUCGGCGCAUCAUCGACCGAUCCUGAUGUAUUCGGAUGGAUUUGAGUAGGAGCGUUAAGCCUUGGACCCGAAAGAUGGUGAACUAUGCUUGGAUAGGGUGAAGCCAGAGGAAACUCUGGUGGAGGCUCGCAGCGGUUCUGACGUGCAAAUCGAUCGUCAAAUCUGAGCAUGGGGGGCGAAAGACUAAUCGAACCAUCUAGUAGCUGGUUACCGCCG